rnacentral:rRNA from 1 species
GUGGUGCAUGGUUGUCGUCAGCUCGUGUCGUGAGAUGUUGGGUUAAGUCCCGCAACGAGCGCAACCCCUAUCUUCAGUAGCCAGCAUUACGGAUGGGCACUCUGGAGAGACUGCCAGGGACAACCUGGAGGAAGGUGGGGAUGACGUCAAAUCAUCAUGCCCCUUAUGGCCAGGGCUACACACGUGCUACAAUGGCGUAAACAAAGGGAAGCAGCCAUGUGAAUGUGAGCAAAUCCCAAAAAUAACGUCUCAGUUCGGAUUGUAGUCUGCAACUCGACUACAUGAAGCUGGAAUCGCUAGUAAUCGCGAAUCAGAAUGUCGCGGUGAAUACGUUCCCGGGUCUUGUACACACCGCCCGUCACACCAUGGGAGUCAGUAACGCCCGAAGCCGGUGACCUAACCGAAAGGGAGGAGCCGUCGAAGGUGGGACCGAUAACUGGGGUGAAGUCGUAACAAGGUAGCCGUAUCGGAAGGUGCGGUUGGAUCACCUC